UCUGGUGACGAUAGCAAAGAGGUCACACCUGUUCCCAUGCCGAACACAGAAGUUAAGCUCUUUAGCGCCGAUGGUAGUUGGGCUUACGUUCCGCGAGAGUAGGACGUUGCCGGGC
rfam:Staphylococcus aureus C0673 genomic scaffold aedLz-supercont1.13, whole genome shotgun sequence.